AUUGAUUUAUAGGUAUAGCAAGUAUUAAAUACUGAUUAAAUUAUAUCUUUUAAUUCAGCAGCCCAAUCAUGUAUGAAGCAAAGCGACCUUUGGAAAGCAGAACAAGAUCUGUUAUUUGUUCACGCAUGUAGGCCAGCUGUUGUGUCUAAAUUAUGUGGACAGCCUGUGUGUAGUUCAGAAAAGAACUGUGAAUUGUUUUGCAGUCGUCAAAUUCAAAUUUUGAAGAAUAUUGCAUUCUAUUUUGUGAAAAGAAAAAGAGGGAGAGCUCAGGGACAAGGAAAAAGGAAACUGUGGACUGGCCAGGAACUUUGGAGAAACACGUCUCUCAAGUGUUUGCUGAGACCAGAGGGGAUGGACAUCAUGUCCUGGAGCUGGUAGGAGAAAUUGACAGAAGUUCAAGCGCUAUGACCUUCUUUAAUGCUACUUGAAGAUAAAAGAAGCUGAAUGCUGCCUAUAAGGACUUGGAAGCUAAAGGACCUGGUACCCCUCUGUUGGAUCUAGUCAUGCUGUAGCCAGAGCCUUGUGACAUCCUAUUUAUCUGGAUAGGCGGAAUGGUACAGUUGAGAGCAGCCAUGAAAUGAUUCAUUCAUCGUUGGAAAUGUUGAGGAAAACUUGUGCAGAUGGUUUGCUGGUCCUGCCAGAUUUCACUCUUGAGCUGUAUAAAGCAAAGCAAACCAUGGAUGAUUUUAAGCAUUUUUGUGUUUCAGAAUGAAAAGUUUGCCUGACACUAACAAGAGGUGUCUUUUUUUCCUCCUGUUCUCUUGUUCCUUCCUUUCCUCUUUAUUGCCAUAUGUGGAAUAAAAGGCAAAGGGGAUGAUGGAAUCCA
rnacentral:lncRNA from 1 species